AUUGAACGCUGGCGGCAUGCUUUACACAUGCAAGUCGAACGGUAACGCGGGGGCAACCCUGGCGACGAGUGGCGAACGGGUGAGUAAUACAUCGGAACGUGCCCAGUAGUGGGGGAUAGCUCGGCGAAAGCCGGAUUAAUACCGCAUACGACCUAAGGGUGAAAGCGGGGGACCGUAAGGCCUCGCGCUAUUGGAGCGGCCGAUGGCAGAUUAGCUUGUUGGUGAGGUAAAGGCUUACCAAGGCGACGAUCUGUAGCUGGUCUGAGAGGACGAACAGCCACACUGGGACCGAGACACGGCCCAGACUCCUACGGGAGGCAGCAGUGGGGAAUUUUGGACAAUGGGCGCAAGCCUGAUCCAGCAAUGCCGCGUGUGUGAUGAAGGCCUUCGGGUUGUAAAGCACUUUUGGUAGGAACGAAACGGUCUGGGCUAAUACCCCGGACUAAUGACGGUACCUGCAGAAUAAGCACCGGCUAACUACGUGCCAGCAGCCGCGGUAA
rnacentral:rRNA from 1 species